rfam:Salmo salar isolate Sally breed double haploid chromosome ssa15, whole genome shotgun sequence.
UGCAUUCACUAUUGUAAGUCCCUCUGGAUAAGAGUGUCUGCUAAAUGACUAAAA